rnacentral:lncRNA from 1 species
AUGCUUCCCCUCAGCCUGUUUCCUUUUAUGCUUACUCUGUGCCCGCCAGGCACUCGGCCAUGGAUGGCUGCCACCUGACCCCAGCUGUACUGCUUUCAUUAAUCCAAGGUGAGAGGCGCACACGGGGCGCUCUCUGAACCCUCCAGGUGAUUUUAAUGUGCAGCCAGGUUAGAAAACCUCUGCUUGGUCUUUGUGGCCUUCACGUCGUUGCUUAAGCUUUUGCAUCCUCCCAACUCCUGACCUUUACACGGGCUGCCCCUUGCACAGGAUCCUACCUACUUCUUCUGGCUGCCCGUUCACACUUCUAAGAGGAGGCUAUCAGGCUUUCAGAUGUUGCGAGGUAGGGAAGGCCGGUAAAUCAUCAUUUUGUGAGAAUAUGAGAGGAGGGAUGUUACCUGGAACAUGGGGAGAAGGGCCUUCCUUCGUGGAAAAUGGGCUUUGUCUUGCAAUUCUGGCCGGCUGUGGCUCCAGAUCACAGAAGGCUUUGUCUUCUCUAAGACAAAGGAAGAGCAGAAAUGAGAGACUGUGACAGACUUAGAAUCCAUUCCACCUGUGAACUUACGUGUCCUCUACAAAUUCUUUGCACAGCUUCCUUGCAACCUUCUCUCACCUCUGCACAUUACAGAAAUGGGUGUGAUCAUAGUACCUAUCUGUCUCAGAGGUCGGUGUGAGAUUUAACUGAGUGACUGCUUCUGAAGUCCGUACCCAGAUCUUAGUCUGAGCUGAGGCUUCAAUAGAAGAGACCAUACUUGGUUGAAGGAUGGGUGAGCAGGCCUGAGCCAGGUCAGGAAGUUUUCGGCAGCCCACUCUCCCCUGGAGGUGCCCUUGGCCACAGACUGUGCUGGCUGAAGACACUGCUGGCUUCAGCAGGAGCCUGGACUCGCCGGGCCAGGAUCUCUCCUUGUCUUUCACGAGGAUUCUGCCACUGCAGUACAAACCCAGUUUUCAGAAAAUCAAGAUGAAAUUGCUCCAAACAAUGCGCCCCCCUGGAGCCCAGUAGCAGGCCUAUAGUGCUGGCCUCUUGGGGAGCUGAGACAGGAGAAUGCCUUGAGGCCAGAGUUCAAGGCCAGCCUCAGCAAUACAGUGAAAAGCGGUUUCAGAAAUAAUUAGGCCCAUGAGUAUAGCUCACUGGUAGAGUGCUUGCAUGUUCAAGGCCCUGAGUUCAAUCCCUAAAACUGCAAAAAGAAAUAAACAAACAAUGUGACCUUGGUUGACCUUUGAUGUGCAUAAAUAGGUUUACUCCUUUCUACUUAAGCAUGAGGAUCCAUUUGGUCCUUGUGUUGGAGAUGAGAGGGCUUUUUUGGCUUUGAAACACUAUCAUACUAGCAAAUGUGUAAGGAUCAGUUCUCAGAUGAAAACAGCCCUGUCGCAAGGCAGCUACUAUAGGCUUUUAUGAAGCUGGGGCAUAGCAAUGUAGAAUUAUUUUUUAAACUAUGAAAUACCUUAAGCACAAAAGAAACAUAAAGAAAUAUAGAGGAUAAUACAAUAAAUGUUCAUAUACUUACCAACUUGUAUUAAAUCUGAACACUUUCUGAUAUUUCUUUUUGAAGAAACAGUUGAAGACUCUGGGUCUUCUCUAGCCUCCUUGCCCUGCAAAAGUGAUUAAAGCAACUCCAGCAUUUAGCUCUUCCUUGCCCACAGGCAGAUGUUCUUCAAGCUCUCUGUGUUGCACGUGCCCGAAGAGAAUUUCCCAGGGCUUUUGGGAGGUGACAGGAUCAAGUGUGCGUGCUGCUCAUCACUAGAUCAGUCCACUGAUGGGUUCACAGCUCCAUGUGAGGUUGGGAGGUAAAACUUGGUGGGACGAGGUGAGUCACUGUGAGCAUGGCCUGGGAGAGUCUAUGUCCCUUUUCCUCCCUUGAUCCCUUGCUGCUUCCUGUCUGCCACAUCACAGACUGUUUCUCCUCUGCCGUGCCACCCUGCCUUGGAACCAGCUGACUAUGACCUGAAACCUCUACCGACUGUGAGACAAAAUAAACCUUUCUCCCUGUAAGUUGUGGGUGUCAGGUGUUGUGUCUCAGUGACAAGAAACUAA